ensembl:lncRNA
GCUCCCGGUCCCCUUGUGAGCAGAGUCCUCUCAUCAAGAGCCCGCCACACCUGCCUGACCGCUUAGGGCCGAAAGCCUGGCAGCUCCUCAGCGACGCCCUGUCACCCCUUUCCUGGAGCAAGGGUUCUCACGCAGGCUCACUACAGACUGCCUUGUGACAUGGGCAGGUUCCUGGGUCUCCCCGGGCCGCAGUUUCCACGUCUGUUAAAUGGGAAUAGUAAUAAGUCCCAUAGAACUAUAGCGGGACGUCAUGCAUGGAUACAUAUAAAGCUGCCUCAACCCUAAGUGUUGGGUAUUACUGUUAUUGUUACUGUUUCUAGAGGAAAGAGGGUGGCCUUCUGGGUCAGGGAAGAGAAGGGACGUGGAGGUGGGCAGGGGAGGCACAGUGUGACUGUCUCUGCAGCGGAAGGAAGUGAGACCUUCAGGGAGACGAUUAAACUCUUCACGACUCGCUGGCCCCAACCCCCUGGUCUCAGACAGCCACAGCCAGAGGGGCAGCUGUGCCCAGGGAGCAGCGAGUGCAGAGCUGCACAGAUGGGGACGGGAUUCUGUCCCGGGCAGGCAGCCGCUCGGCUGGCGCGCUGGACAGCUUGAUCUGGAGCUCAGGAGGGAAACCGGGCCUGGUGAGGAAGCUCGGGGGUCGUGGGGCGGGAAGGGAGCGACCAGAUGGGGGAGUGAGACUCCCAGGGGCUCCAUGCGUCCGGAUGAGAGAAGCCGGAAGCCACCGGCUGACUCGUGUAGAGGGCCUGGUGCAAAAAGAAGAGCGGGUGGAGGGAGAAAGAGGGUCCAGGGGUGGGAAGGGCGGGGGCAGAGGGAGCAGAGGGCGGGAAGGGGGCGGUCACAGCGGCGAAGCGCUGAGGGUCAGCGGUGUCCGAUGCUAACGAAGAGAGAAGACCAGAGACCUGGGCACGGCCCACUCCCGUAGAUGGGCGGCGCAGCGAACAGGAGGAAGCCGGCGGACGACGUCCCUCCCUCUGUCAGUCACCCCCUCGCCAGCCUUUCAGCAGCUCCCGAGCCAGGCGUCUGCCGUGGUUUCCUUUUGGGUCCACAGCAGCACCCACGCCGCCACCUUCCCUCAGCCCAGCUCUCGGGGCCGAGGGGAGCACGCGCCCCCAGGCCCGGCCUCCCCGCUGGAGAGACGCUGGCUUCAGAGCCCACUCUGGACCCGGGGCCCAGCGCCGCGUGCGGGGGCCUCUCACCCAGCCCUGGGGACAGAGGCAGGGUGGGUGGGGUGUCAUGACCCGCAUCACGGGCAGGGGAGGUGGCGGAGGUCCGGCCGUCUCCACGGUGUGGCUCCACGUGGCCGCGGACACUGCCGUCCAAACAGGCAGAGCCCGCGGAAGUGCCCGGAUGGAGGCCCGGCCACGGCCUGAAGAGGCGGGACUCGGGCCGGCCUGGACCGUGCACGUUACGUCAUUUUUCCGUGUUCUGUCGGCAGAACUGGGUCAUGUGGCGGGACUUGGCUCCGAGGGAGGCUCUGGGGGGUGGUCUAGCGGGGUCACGGGGGAACGGAGAAGCUUUCCAGGCUCUGGUGGUCCCGGCCUUGAAGACGUCGCACAGUGAAACCCAGCCCCGUCUUCCGGUCCGUCUUCCUGGUGGUUGACGCCGAGGCCGAGGGGAGCAUCGCCUAGGGUCCCUAGGUGCGCCGAGCACAGUCCCACCCCCUCUAGCGGAAACACUCCUCUCCCAGCCCCUCCCUACUUCCGGGAAUCCCACUCACACUCUAAGCCACGGGCAAAGGGCGUCUCUUCCCCGGAGCCCUCCUGAGUUGCAAUUAUUCUUUCCCUCCUGUUACUUGUUUGCCUCAGACCCCGUCUCUCUUGGUCUCUGCUUGUAUGAAAGUCGUCACAGUUCCAUAAUCCCCUCUGUGGGCUGCACACACAGGCAGGGCAGGAUGUUCCCCGGACACACCCCACGUGCCUUUGCUGGUUCUGUCUCUUCUUUCUGGAGCCUGCCUGACCCACGUGGAAUCCAAAGCAUCCUUGACUCCAUCUCCAGGGGCACUCCUUGCAUGCCUCUCUUGAUGGCCUCCACCGGCUAGGAACUCGGAGUUUAGGGUUCACCUUCUGUAGCUGCCGAUGCUGCUACUUCUGGUUCUUUCACAUCCUUGGGCUUUCUCAGCGCCGGGCACUGGCUCUGCCGUCAGGCUACCCAGUUCACUGUGGAGCUUCCGCCCACCUCGGCUGUUGGCUGUUGGGUGGAGAGACGGUUAGCCCGCCGCUGACGGAGC